GGAUGGAUCAUAAUGAUAUUACUGGACUGCUUGACGGAUUUGUAUCAACUGCUCUUGAUCUAAAGAUAGCUCGCUUAAGGCCUGCUCGGAGGACAGCUUGGCUGGGUAAUUGAUGAAGCUCGGGAGAGACCCUGAUAGGUCCUCGCUCGUAUCAGCUGUGAGGAAUAAGUGAAUGGUUGUCGCUUCGGCGCGUGGCGAGCAGUGGACGACCCAAAUCUAUUCAGAUACUAACGCGGAGUACAUGAGUAUCCGUCGUGACAGACUGCCCUGCUCGGCUCGAAAAUAGCUACUGAACUUAAGCAUAUCAGUAAGUAGAUCAAGAGAAACCAAAUGGGAGGCCGGUACUAGCGGCGAGCGAAACCGGUCAACAGCGAACCAGGUGCCCCAGGAUUGCUGUUCAGCAGCCUGGUGACCACGCCUGUCGCAGCAAUUUAGUACGUCUUGUUGAUACUCAAGAUGGAAUACCUCGUGGACAUGAGGUAAUUGCAAAUACAUACCCAGACCGAUAGUUUACAAGUACCGUGAGGGAAAGUGCACGAGUUCCGCAGGAACCGAAUAUGGAAACCUUGCAGGUCGAAGGAACCAAGCCGAGAGGUACGGUUCACCCGUCUUGAAACACGGACCAAGGAGUCGCCGCUGACUGCGAGGCAGAGAGUAAUCCUGUGCCGGAUCGCAAGACGUUGACACUGAUAGUAGUCAGCAGCGGACCCGAAAGAUGGUGAACUAUACUUGACUAGGGUGAAGCCAGAUGAAACUCUGGUGGAGGCUCGUUUCGAUACUGACGCGCAAAUCGUUCGUAUGAGUUGAGUAUAGGGGCGAAAGACUAAUCGAACCAUCUAGUAGCUGGUUCCCUC
rnacentral:misc_RNA from 1 species